rnacentral:lncRNA from 1 species
ACGAACGUGCUCUUUGGGACGAUCGUUGUAACGAUUCACACAGUCGAAUAGUAAGCGUAAAGUUAAACGGUAGUAUCGAGCGAGCAACGAUUACGAUCUCUAUAUUUGUGCUUAAAGUGAUUUUAAGGUGUCACAGUACUCACUGACGAGUAUUAUUUUUUGUUUGUAAACAAUUACCGAUAACGGGCGAAAAAUACAUUUGCAUCGUACAUUGGUGGUGCUUGAGAGGCACACUUGGAGCGUUACGUUUUAAUCUCACCACGAAGAAAGAAAGAAAAUUCGCAUGUGGUGGCGGAGCCGGAUAUGGUCGUCCUCGAUAGGCGUCUGACUGGAAGCGGGAAGAGGUGGCUGCGGGCCAUCGGAAAUCGCUGGAAUCGCGACCCUUAUCGCCUUAUUAGAGAGGGGCAACUUGCAUGGCGUCCUAAGCCGGACGCGGCGUGGCGCUGCGGCAAGUUUAUCGGCCGCUUGUAUCAGCGUACUCACGCUCCCUUUCAUGGUCUUUAAACCGGCGCACUUAGCAUGGCCCGUCAUUAUUUAACGUUGAUGUUGGUGUUCGAUUUGAAGAAGUGGAUCGGAAGUCUGCUAAAGUGAAGACAAGCAAUCUGUGCGUAUCCUCUGUGAGGAUGAUUUUUAUUCAGACAUUUUUAUUCGGCCAGCGUAGGAAUAAAAUGGAACGGAAAGACAAACAGCAGCGGUCGCGUGUGAAAGUUUAUUUUCUAUCCAACUGCGUUUUUCUAUUAUACAAUUUCUGAGAAAAAUAUGGCAAAUGCUGAGCAACUGUGAUUUAUAGUUUUUAAUAAUUGCAGCAUGAAGAUUUGAAAAUUGCAACAGAGUUAAGAACAGCUAAUUACGUUUAUUAUUAGUUUUGUUAAUUCUUUUUAGUUUUGAAGUUAAUAUAAUCAUCUUUAUCAUUUUUACCAAUGUUGUGCUUGCAGGUGGAAUUGUAUUUUCUACCCAACUGCAUUUUUCUAUUGAUACACAAUUACUGAGAAAAAUAUGGCAGAUCAGUGAAUAACCGUGAUUUCUGUUUUUUUUAAUAACUGGAGCAUGAAGAUUUGAAAAUUGCAACAGGGUUAAGAAAGGGCAGCAAGUAUAAUAAAUAUAAAUAUCAAAGUAACCAGACCUGCAAUUCGUUUCAAUCUCUAAGAACCCGGAGAACGUAGGUGAUUGUGCUAAUAACUCGUUCGACAAUUUCGCUCGAAUAAACAGUUUCUGCAAGAUAUAAAUAAAAAGAGUAAAAUAAAAUUGUUUACAAGCUGAAAAAUAAACCUCCAAGGACGUGUUUGCUUGAUGUCUACAAUUCACCCUGUACGUAAAUAUCCAUCAAAUAUUUCACCACAUCCUGUACAAGUACAGAGCUAGAGGGAAUUAAGCUAAAGCACGUAACAACUGCGUUAAAUCAAAUUCAACGUUGGGAUUAAUACUGAAAUGAGGAUGAGUAUGAAAUAAAAACUUGGCAGAAACUUAAUAGAAAGGAAUAAUCAAAAUUUAGUAUGAAGUCCUGUAUUAUUUUUUGCUGUGUCUAUGAAAUAAGGGUACAGCGUGAACAUGGAGCAGCAAAGGAACAUAAGCGCGCAACGCGAGCAUGACGUCGACAUAAACGCCAGAGAGGGCAAACAAAAUUUUCAAAAGUUAUAUUCUCAUGAUCUCCUACUGAUCUGAAAUAAGAAAUUACUUUGAUUUAUGUACCCCCUAAAGUUCUUCGUUCCAAUAGUAUAAUACUCUUUUCUUUUGCUUCUGAAACAAUUGUAAUUUCCUAGUAUAUUCGUGUCCUUUUGCCAAAGUAGGAAAGCUCGUUUGAAGCGAAAACCGCGGAAAGUCGCCGGCAUGCACCAGGCAACACGCGGUUCAAUGUAUCAUUAGGUAGUCAUUGCGAUCACCGUGGGUCCCGUUGGUACACGCACGAUCCGACGGACACGUAGGUAAGCCAUCCUGGCUUCAUUCACGUCAGAUGCGAGGCGACCACGUCAUUUAUCUGCCAACCAUUCCGGCUAACGAUGCAUUGCCGGUUUGUUGGUCGAGCGUCCUGGUAUCCUCGUGUUCCCUGCACGAGCUUCGUCUGGAAUUUCCAUCUUUUUUUAUGAUGCCUCUCAAACAAUUCUUUUGCACUUAAGGAGAGUACGUGGAGGUUAAUUAUGAGCAAUUUCUAUCAAUUCUAAUCAACACGGAUCAUGAUACUUGAAACCAAAUUUGUUGGAUCUUUGAGUACAUAUACAUGUAUAUUAACAUUAGAUCUUGCAAUAUUAAAAGUGCACUUUUGCAACCAGGAAUUAUUUAUUUACAAAUGCUGUUACAUGUUAUAUAUUUUUUGUAAGCAGUUUUUUAAACAAAUACAAGUGAUAUUUUGUCGCAUGCAUAAUUCGCUUUCAAGGAGCAAAAGAUUCAAUGAAAGUAGAAAAUCUGUAAUCAUCUGUAAGCUAUUGAUGUAGUUUAAUUUCUCUAAGAAGUACGUUUCUCUGAAAACGCCUGGAUAUUUUUAUCUAAAGUAGUUUCCAGGAUAUGACGACUUUAUAGAGUUACACUGAACUUUCAUGAUCUUUCUCACUCCUUUAAACCGAAUCAUGAAUAAUGUCUACUAGAAUAAUGUCUUGCAUCUGUUAAUGGUACCGUCAUUCUGUAAAAAGUUAAUCAAAAUCGGUGUUUUUUAGUUAUCGGUGUUAACUGGGUAAUUUUAAAACUUGCCUUGCGUCGGCCCUGACUUUUAACAUAUUGUCAUGUUCUCUCUCUUAAAGCUUUCUAUCUUAUUCACCUUGUGGUUUUGUACUUUACCACCUGAAUUUAUUUCCAUAUAAUAUCCUGCCAUGCCAAUUCAUCUGCGUUUAAUAUUUCCUACAACAAAUCAGGUGCAAGUAUACGAAUUAAAAACAACAAACGUUUAUUUCAUAGUUGCAGGCAAAUUUUACUGCUCGUUCACACCAAUGCGCAGCGUCCACGUUGCCUUUCAGUAUCUUUCAGAAAGAUACGAAGAAGAGACUCUUAGCGUCUUAUCUCUGUCGUACGUGUUGAAGGAAAAACAGUGAAAUAGUUUUUGUUGAGACCCAUGGCACAGUUCGCUAAUUGCGCUAGAGGAUAUUUAAGGUGCGUGUAAAAUUUGGGAGUGGCACGUGGUGGCGCGCGCGGCCGUGCGAGAGGGUGGAAGCGCGGUCGUCUCUGCCGGCGACAGAGGAGCCCGGUCGCUUCCGGAACACGCGAAACUCUCAUUAACUUCGACCGGGCGCGAUAUUGUAUUGCGCUUUAAAGUCGUUCCACGCUCCUUGGAGCGGAGACGCCGGCUGCGAGCGGCGGCAGCAACGACUUAAAAAAGUUCCAACCACGGAGACCGGAGUUUAAUGGGUGCCACCACAAACGACAACGUCGAUACUCUUCAAGGAAGGACGAUGAGCGAAUUUCAAACGCUUCUGCAUCGCAAAACUAUCCACUGCAGUCGUACGAUAUUUCAUAAGAUUCGUUGUUAACUGAUAAAAUUCCCUGCUAUGCGUAUGAUUGUCCUGUGUAACAAAUACGAUUCACGAAGAUCUCACGACGAAUACUUUAUUGGUAAAUAUUCUUAUUUCUUACAUUUUGUACUUUUUUGCUUCUGUACACUAAGCAGUAAUGGGAAAUUUUCAAACGCUUCUAUGCUGGCAACAGCAUGCACUGAAAGCAUACGAUAUUUCAUGUAAUAUUUAGUGAUAUUGUGUUUUAUGUCCGUUUCUAUGCAUUACAUUCAAUCUAUUGGGUUGGCAACUAAGUGAUUGCAAAUUUUGUCAUUAGGUGGCAUUGAUAAAUCCGCAAUCACUUAGUUGCUAACCUAAUAUAUCGUGCACACGAAUAAUCGUCGUUUGGUAUUUUAUUUAUUAUGUAGCAUUGGAAAAUGAUGAAUAAAUUUCAAGCUGUAACGAGGAUAGUGAAUGGAAUUUUGUUUUUGAAUUGCAGAAAUAUUCCCUGGAAUUUCAUGUAAUAUUUAGUGGUAUUGUGUUUUACGUCCGUUUCUAUGCACUGCGUUCAAUCUAUUGGAUUGGCAACUAACCGAUUGCGGAUUUUAUCAUUAGGUGGUAUUGACAAACCCGCAAUCACUUAGUUGCCAACCUAAUAUAUCGUUCACACGAAUAAUCAUCGUUUGAUAUUAUAUUUAUUAGUUGGCAUUGGAAAAUGAUGAAUAAAUUUCAAGCUGUAACGAGGAUGGUUUUCAGCCUUUCUUCUACACCGAUUAUAAGUGUUCACCUUACAACCGAAUAAUUUGCAAGAAUUUCGCAAUCAACUGCUACUUUUGCGUGCACACUUUGGUAUGGCGUGCAGGCGGAUCAAUAUAAAAUAUUGAAAUUAUUACACGGUCUUCUUUAUUACGAGUAACACCUUUGCCGACAUCAAUUACGUUCAUACAUAUUAUGCGCAUUAAUUUUAUUUGCGCCCAGCCGAUUCCGCUACUGGUAAUUCUGCGCAAACGAGAUUAAUGUACAUUAAUUAAAGAUGGGUGAGGGGAGGGGAAUAGCGCGAUAAAAGGACGUACCGUACAAGAACCGAACUAAAAAGCAAGCCUUUGUGAUAUUGAGCCUGGCGUGCCAGUUUGAUGAUGUCUGGAAACCUCGAUAGGGAUCCUAUCUAUAUAGUUGCAUACACAUUACGCCUGGUAAACGAUUUUACGUUAAAAGUGAACACAUUAUUCUAAUAAAGCAGACCUGUGAGUAUCUUGUUAACGUAGCUGCGGUGAUAAAUGCACGAUAGCAUGCGCUUUGAUUUAUGCCUUGUUUGCGUAAUUGUUCUGAAGUUGUAGCAUUAAAAGAAUAAAAUUAAUUCCGCUAUUGUAU